rnacentral:rRNA from 1 species
AGAGUUUGAUCCUGGCUCAGGACGAACGCUGGCGGCGUGCUUAACACAUGCAAGUCGAACGGUGAUCUUGGGAGCUUGCUCCUGGGUGAGCAGUGGCGAACGGGUGAGUAACACGUGAGUAACCUGCCCCUGACUCUGGAAUAAGCGCUGGAAACGGCGUCUAAUACCGGAUACGAGACGCAACCGCAUGGUUAGUGUCUGGAAAGUUUUUCGGUCUGGGAUGGACUCGCGGCCUAUCAGCUUGUUGGUGAGGUAAUGGCUCACCAAGGCAAUGACGGGUAGCCGGCCUGAGAGGGCGAUCGGCCACACUGGGACUGAGACACGGCCCAGACUCCUACGGGAGGCAGCAGUGGGGAAUAUUGCACAAUGGGCGAAAGCCUGAUGCAGCGACGCCGCGUGAGGGAUGACGGCCUUCGGGUUGUAAACCUCUUUCAGCAGGGAAGAAGCGAAAGUGACGGUACCUGCAGAAGAAGCACCGGCUAACUACGUGCCAGCAGCCGCGGUAAUACGUAGGGUGCGAGCGUUGUCCGGAAUUAUUGGGCGUAAAGAGCUUGUAGGCGGUUUGUCGCGUCUGCUGUGAAAAUCCGGGNCUCAACCCCGGACUUGCAGUGGNUACGGGCAGACUAGAGUGUGGUAGGGGAGACUGGAAUUCCUGGUGUA